GCCUUAGUAACUCAGUGGUUGAGCGUCAGAUGAAAUUGCGACUAUUAUUUUGCAUUCUUCUGAAGGAGCGAGUUCGAUUCUCGCCUGGGGCU